rnacentral:lncRNA from 1 species
CAGCGCUGAGGCAGGCCGAGCACGUUUCUUUAUUCGGUCUUUAGUCCUCAGUUUUCCGCAGUGUUGGUCAGUGUCGGCGGUGUGGUGGUGUUGCGUUACCUACGUUCUUCUUGUGCGGCGUGUCGUGUUUUUUUUUUUUUAUUCUUGUUGUGUUGUGCGCGAGGGGUGCGAUUGAAUUCGCACACUAAAACGUCAUAUUAUGCCGAAGUACCACGUCUUGAGUGUAAAAGAAAAACUUGAGAUCAUCCGCACCAUUGAAAAUGGGGCCAAGAAAUCUGCGGUAGCCCGCGAAAAGAACU